GAUGUCUCUCUCUCUCUUAGACAUUGCCAGUUUUAUAACAAUAUUGAUUAGUUUGUUUGGUAGCUAAGUCUCCAGCUUCAUGCAAUAAAAGUUUUCUAUCUAUUUUACAAGAAUUUAAUAGCCACUAUGUAAUGGGAUUUGAGGAUAUUGUGACACUAAACCCCAGAUGUACUGUCUAAAUGAAAAGCACAAGGGAAUGGCUGUCAUUGCUGCAAAGGAUUUAGAGCCUCCCUAAAUUCUUCUGCCUAUUAGGUAUCAUGAAGACAGGCACCCAAAUAUCCCAUCCAAAAUCUACAUAAUUGUAAUUAAUCCAUUUAUCCUUACACGGUUGUUCCAUUUAUUUGAAUUAUAGUCAGAUUUCUUGCAAAUAUCUACGUUUAAUGCAAUUUGCAUUUGCAAUUCCAAAAAAGAUUUGCACUUUGACUAUUAUGUCUGGCAGUAAUUUAAAU
rnacentral:misc_RNA from 1 species